GGGAGGGCCAAGCCUGCCCACUGCAGGGGGCUCGAAGCCCCUAUGGAGCCAUAGCAGAGGACAGUGCCAGAGUCUGUGGUCUGAGGCUGGUUCUGGUCCCAAGCAGGCGUCCUUUCUGUCAAGCCCUGUGACAGGAGGGGGCAGCUGUGGCUUUCCAUUGAGCUAUAAAAAGCCCAACGCCCGGGCGAGGAGAGGACACAGUGAGACACACAGGACUCACUGGACUCGGGAGCUCGGCCUAGCAAUCAUGAGGUUGGGCCCCACCAUCAGGCUGCUGCAAGCCCCUCUGAGGGCCUGUGUGGUCCCCAAGGCGCACAUCUCUGCCAAGCCGGCCAGAACACCCACCUCUCCCUCGGAGCAGGCCGCUGCGCUCGUGGUGACGUUCCUCAGCUUCCUGAUCCCUGCGGGCUGGGUCCUGUCCCACCUGGAGAGCUACAAGAGAAGAUCCUCAGCCUGAGGGCCUGGCAGCCACCGCUGUGAGGGCGGGAAGGUCACAUUAAAACCUUCCCAACCUAA